UUCCGGUUGAUCCUGCCGGACCCGACUGCUAUUUGGGUGAGAAUAAGCCAUGCGAGUUGAAUGGAAUACCUAAAUUUUCCAUAGCAAACUGCUCAGUAACACAUGAUCAACUUACCCUAUAGAGAAAAAUAACCUCGGGAAACUGAGGAUAAUGUUUCAUAGUUGAAAAGGCUUGGAAAAGUUUUUCAAUCAAAAGGAUAAGAAAAAUGGUUCUUCUCCGCUAUAGGAUAGGAUCGUGGUCGAUUAUGGUUGUUGGUGAGGUAAUGGCUCACCAAGCCGAUAAUCGAUAGGGGCCGUGAGAGCGGGAGCCCCGAGAUGGGUACUGAGACAACGACCCAGGCCUUACGAGGCGCAGCAGGCGCGAAACCUCCGCAAUACACGAAAGUGUGACGGGGUUACCCAAAGUGUUCAGUUUUGAACUGUGGUAGGUGAGUAAUGUCCCCUACUAGAAAGGAGAGGGCAAGGCUGGUGCCAGCCGCCGCGGUAAAACCAGCUCUUCAAGUGGUCGGGAUAAUUAUUGGGCUUAAAGUGUCCGUAGCCGGUUUAGUAAGUUCCUGGUAAAAUCGGGUAGCUUAACUAUCUGUAUGCUAGGAAUACUGCUAAACUAGAGGGCGGGAGAGGUCUGAGGUACUACAGGGGUAGGGGUGAAAUCUUAUAAUCCUUGUAGGACCACCAGUGGCGAAGGCGUCAGACUGGAACGUGCCUGACGGUGAGGGACGAAAGCCAGGGGAGCGAACCGGAUUAGAUACCCGGGUAGUCCUGGGCCGUAAACGAUGCAUACUAGUGAUGGCAUGGCCAUGAGCCGUGUCAGUGCCGUAGGGAAACCGUUAAGUAUGCGCUGGGAAGUACGGUCGCAAGGCUAAACUUAAAGGAAUUGGCGGGGGAGCACACAAGGGUGAGGCUGCGUCAUGGACUCACGC
rnacentral:rRNA from 1 species